CCUACGGGUGGCAGCAGUGAGGAAUAUUGGUCAAUGGGCGGGAGCCUGAACCAGCCAAGUCGCGUGAGGGAAGACGGUCCUAUGGAUUGUAAACCUCUUUAGGCGGGGAGCAAUGCCGGGCACGCGUGCCCGGAGGGAGAGUACCCGCAGAAUAAGUAUCGGCUAACUAUGUGCCAGCAGCCGCGGUAAUACAUAGGAUGCAAGCGUUAUCCGGAUUUACUGGGCGUAAAACGAGCGCAGGCGGGUUAACAAGUUUGGUAUGAAAGGCUUUUGCUUAACGAAAGUUUGUAUCAAAAACUGUUAAUCUAGAGUGUAGUAGAGAGUUCUGGAAUUCCAUGUGGAGCGGUGGAAUGCGUAGAUAUAUGGAAGAACACCAGUGGCGAAGGCGAGAACUUAGGCUAUCGCUGACGCUUAGGCUCGAAAGUGUGGGGAGCAAAUAGGAUUAGAUACCCCAGUAGUC
rnacentral:rRNA from 1 species